rnacentral:lncRNA from 1 species
UUACACACGAAUGAAAUUAUAAACCACUGGUUCAUUCAUAAAGGUGUGUCACGGUGCCGUUGCAUUUUACUUGAUAUUAGAACGAGAAGGAGAGAUGCAGAGUGCACGCACAAAGAAACAAAUGAUGGGAGGGGGAUGGAAGGAGAAAGAGUGUAUGUAUUUGCAGCGCAGAAUGAAACAUGAAGGAUCAUACCAGCAU